CUGUUAGAUGUCGCUGUAGAUUUAGCAGCACUGUACUGUAAAAAUCCACAGUACUAUACUGUAUGUGUACAUUACAGUACAGUACUGCAGUUCAUAAUGCAUUCUGGGUAAAUUUGUUUGAGCGGGAACAUUUUACAGUAUAUUUUGGUCUUGAUGUAACCUUGCUGUAGCCAUUGCUGUAAUGUGCCAGGUGUACUUGCAAUAAUCAGAGAAAGUGCGCCAACGUCAAAUCACACAGACAGAGGGAGCGCACAACUCUUGGCUGCAGCUGAAGGAGGACGAUUGAUUUCUGUCAGUUCGUCUUACCAUUGCUUGUAAGUCGGAUUGGGUAAGAUGGAUCAUCUUUAAAGGCACCAGGAGUUAAGGCAGAUGUGGAGGCACAACGGGUGACACCAGACACACACCAAGCACAUUGUUCGGACAUUCAAUCAUGACAUGAUCCAGGUGGAUGCUGUCCAUUGAUGAAAGAGUUUGUUCCGAGGUUUCUGGAUAGAAUUAAUUCCAAAGAUGGGAAAAAGUGCACAUCCAGACAAGGAGCAAGCAAAAAGACAAGGAACUUGGUGCAGAGAAAAGCUGUGGCCAUUAACCCCCAUGUGAACAGCUUCAUGCAGUCCCUGAUUGAGUUCGAAUGGACGACUUCAAAGUAAAGGCCACUGUGGUCUGUCUGCCACAGUUUAAUGCAUUUAUUUUUAGUGUUCAAUGAAAUUCAAGUAGAAUAUUUAAAACUAUGGGCCAGUGUUCUUUUUACCACAGUGAAAUGUUACCUUUUAGUCGAUGAUGGACUUUAAACUGAAAACUUCAAACUAUGGAAGAGUGUUCUAUUUGCCAGAGUUAAAUAUGUUACAGCAGGGGUCUCCAAACUUGUUUAUACUUGUUGAUUUUAUUUUAUGUUACUUGAUUAUAUGUUUAUUAUUGUUUAAAAUCUUGUUUUAAAUAUGUUUUGUUUCGAUUAAAUGUUUUUUUAAAUAAAAUUUUGAUACAAACAUUGCUUGGAUUGCCUUUUAAUUCAUUAUGUCAUGUCAAGGAUAGCAUUUUUACCAUAUUAAUAACUAUAGAUUUAAACCUAAAUCUCUAGCUAUUUUAUAUAAUAUUAUUGUAUUAACUGUAAUAAGUAAUAAAUAGUAUUUAUGGGUCAAUAUAGACAUUACAGUAAAUUACUGUAAAAAUAGACUACUGUAAUAAAAUAUUGUAAAAUUACAGUACAGUACUGCUUUGUAACUAUACAGUACUAGUUUGUGUACUGUAAAAUGGUAUUACAGUACAGUACUGUAAAACCAAAAUA